GGAAAUAUAGUUCUGCGAAAGAGCACUUGCCUCCAAUGCAGGAGGCCCUUGGGUUCAAUCCAAAGCAUUUCCG
rnacentral:tRNA from 1 species